rnacentral:rRNA from 1 species
AUUGAACGCUGGCGGCAGGCCUAACACAUGCAAGUCGAACGGUAACAGAAAGCAGCUUGCUGCUUUGCUGGCGAGUGGCGGACGGGUGAGUAAUGUCUGGGAAACUGCCUGAUGGAGGGGGAUAACUACUGGAAACGGUAGCUAAUACCGCAUAACGUCGCAAGACCAAAGAGGGGGACCUUCGGGCCUCUUGCCAUCGGAUGUGCCCAGAUGGGAUUAGCUAGUAGGUGGGGUAACGGCUCACCUAGGCGACGAUCCCUAGCUGGUCUGAGAGGAUGACCAGCCACACUGGAACUGAGACACGGUCCAGACUCCUACGGGAGGCAGCAGUGGGGAAUAUUGCACAAUGGGCGCAAGCCUGAUGCAGCCAUGCCGCGUGUAUGAAGAAGGCCUUCGGGUUGUAAAGUACUUUCAGCGGGGAGGAAGGGAGUAAAGUUAAUACCUUUGCUCAUUGACGUUACCCGCAGAAGAAGCACCGGCUAACUCCGUG